UUUUAACCCGUUUCUAAAAAAAACGAGAGAAAUCUCUCUCAAAUCCCUCCGGCUCUUCGAGCUUCGGCCUUUGGUCGAUGGUCCUCCGAUCAUCGAACCACCAUGUUCCCUUCCACGCGCCGUCACUGAUCCCGCCGUGUACGGCGGUCGGGACCUGAAAGGUUCGCUUUUUCUUGCAAAACAAAAGAUGACUGCGAGGAUCUCGGUGGCGAGACAAGGCUGAGGUGUAGCGCGCUGAUGGAGCCUUGAUGUGAGGCCAAUAGACGCUCCCCGAAAGUUUUGGAGCUUCGUGAAACGAAAGGGCGCUGAUUGGGCAUGAUGUUUGAGGCACCUGAAGCUUCCAGAAUCCUUUGCGGCGCUAGGAGAAAGAGAGCUAGGGUUUCUAACCCUAUCUGAAAGUCAUUUGGGCCCCCUGCUAUUUGGGCCUUCGGGUUUAUUUGUAUUAGGUGGGUCUGUUUGCGUCUGUUGUAAUGGGUCCGGUUUAAGUUGGGCUACGGGUGUAUUUGGGUACACGGGUAGUGGGAUUUAGUUUUGAAGGUUUUAAAUAUUGGGCCAAUAGUGUUUGGGCUCUUGUAAACUGGACUGUUUUAAACAAACAUUUAUUUAUAUAUUUUAAAAGCCCGGGCAAAUUUGGGCUAUUACACUAAUUAAAA